rnacentral:sRNA from 1 species
UAUCAUUUUUCCUCUGCCUGAAGGGCUUCCUUUAACGUUUCUUAAGUUAGGGGGCAUGGUGGCUUAUGCCUGUAAUCUCAGUACUCUCAGUACUUUGGGAGAAGGCUGAGGUGGUAGGAUUGCUAGAGUCCAGGAAUUUGAGACCAGCCUGGGCAACAUAGUGAGACCCUAUUUCUACAAAAUAUUUAAAAAAAUUUCUUGUAUUGUGGGUCUGCUGGUUUUGAAUUCGUUCUGCUUGAGUAUUAAAAAUUCUUUAUUUGGCCUUCAUUUUUGAAAGAUCUUUGCCAGGUAUAGGAUUCUAGGUUGACAAUUUUUUUUCUUUCAGUACUUUUUUUUUUCUUCUUUGAGAUGGAAUCUUGCUAUGUCGCCCAGGCUGGAGUGUAGUGGUGUGAUCUCGGCUCACUGUAACCUCCACCUCCUGGGUUCAAGCGAUUCUCCUGUUUCAGCCUCCUGAGUAGCUGAGAUUACAUGUGCAUGCCACCACACCCAGCUAAUUUUUAUAUUUUUAGUAGGGAUGGGGUUUUGCCAUGUUGGCCAGGCUGGUCUCGAGCUCCUGGCUUCAAGUGAUCUGCCUGCCUCGGCCUCCCAGCUUGUUGGGAUUACAGGCAUGAGCCACUGCAUCAGCCUUCUUUCAGUACUUUUAAGAUGUUACUCCAGUGUCUCCUUUCUUGCAUUGUUUCCAGUGAGAAAACUGCUGUCAUUCUUACUUUUGUUCCUGUAUACAUAAUGUGUCAUUUUUAUUUGGCUGUUUUUAAGAUUUUAUCGCUAGUUCUAACAAUUUGACUACAAUGUGCCUUGGUGUAGUUUCUGAAUGUUUCUUUGCUUGGGGUUUUUUAAGCAUCUUAGAUCUGGGUUUUUAGUUUUUAUUAAUUUGGGGAAAAUUUUGGUCAUGAUUUCUGCAGAUAUUUUCUCUGUUCCCUUCUCUUUCCUUUGGGAACUCAAAUUAUUCCUCUAUUAAUGAAAUAAUAAAUGAAAAAAUAAAUGAAGAGCUCACUGAUGCUCUUCAUUUUUAAAGAAAUUCUUCUCUCUUUGUAUUUCACUUUAGAAAAUUUCUGUUGCUGUGUGUUCAAGUUUACUAUUAUUUUCUUCUGUAAUUUCUGAUCUAACAGCAAUCCCAUACAAUAUAAUUCUCCUUUCUAGAAGUUUGAUUUCGGGUCUUUUAAAUCUAUUCUUUCUCUCUUAACUUUUUGAACAUGUGGAAUGCAGUUUAUAACAAUAUUUUAUUUUUAUUUUAUUUUAUGAUGGAGUCUUGCCCUGUUGCCUAGGCUGGAGUGCAGUGGCGUGAUCUUGGCUUACUGCAACCUCUGCUGCCCAGGUUCCAGCGAUUCUUGUGCCGCAGCCUCCCAAGUAGCUGGGACUACAGGCGUGCGCCACCCAACCCAGCUAAUUUUUUUAUAUUUUUAGUAGAGACAGGGUUUUACCAUGUUGACCAGGCUGUUCUUGAACUCCUAACCUCAGGUGAUCCGCCUGCCUCGGCCUCCCAAAGUGCUGGGAUUACAGGCAUGAGCCACCACACCUGGCUGUAACAACAUUUUAAUGUAUUGUCUGCUAACUCUAACAUCUGUGCCAUUUCUGGGUUGACUGCCAUUAGUUGAUUCAUUUUCCUCAUUAUGGAUUGUAUUUUCCUACUCUUUUGCACGCCUGGUAAUUUUUUUUUCUUUUCCUUUCUUUUUUUUUUGAGAGAGGUUCUCACUGUGUUGCCCAGGCUGGUCUUGAACUUCUGGGCUCAAGCAAUCAUCCUGCCUCAGCUUCCCAAAGUGCUGGGAUUACAAGUGUGAGCCACCAGGUCUGUCCAGUGCCUGGUAAUUUUUUAUUGAAUGCUAGGCUUUGUGAAAUUUACCUUGUUGGGUCCAAGAUAUUUUUGUAUUCCUGUACAUUUUCUUCAGCUCAUUCAGGAAUAUCGUUAUAUGGAGAUAGUUGGAUCCUUUCAGGUCUUGUUUUUGGGGUUCUUGAGGCAGGACUGAAGCAGUCCUCCCCAUUGUGAGGCACAAGUACCUGUGUACUCUACCCACCACCCUGUGAAUCAGGAGGUUUUUCCGUCUGGCUAGUGGGAGUUGCACUAUUCCCAGUUCCGAGUGAGCAGCAGGUGCUGUUACGAAUCCUUUUGGGUGCUUCUUUCCCUGUCCUUGGUAGGCAUGUGCUGCUUAGUACUCCUCUACAUACUUGAGGACCUUCUGUAGGUCUCGAGUUCUCUCUCUGCUCUUUUCUCCAGUACUCUAUCCUGUGAACUCCAGCUGCCUUGAUCUCCCUGGACUUUCAGUUUCAUCCUCCCAACUCAUGGAGUCCUCAGGGCUCUCCAUGAGUCUCCCCUCUGUUCUGUGGCCUGCAAACUCUCAGGUGUGGUAUGCUGGGGCAGUUGAAGGGCUCAUCGCGUUUGUUUCCUGUUUCGCAGGAAUCACUGUGCUUUGUUGCCCCAUGUGCAGUGUUUUGAAAACCACUGUUUCAUAUAUUUUACCCAUUUUUUGGUUGUUUUAGGCAGGAGGGUGUAUGUGGUUCCUCUUGCUCCUUGUCAGGAAGCAGAAGUCUCAAGCUUUGCAUAUUCAAGGAAGAAAAAUAAAGAAGGGUACUGUGGACAGAGUGUAGUGAGGAGGGCUUGGGUAAGGGACCAGGCUAUGAACCCUUUAGGUCAUGGUAAGGAGUUUGGAUUUUAUUCAGAUAAUGAUCAGAAGCCUCAGAGGGUUUUGAGCAAAGGUCUGACAGGACCCGACAUCCGUUUUAAGGCAUUUUCUCUGGCUCCUGUGUGGAGAAUAGAUUGUCACUUCUUCCAGUGGGAGAGGUGGAGAUGAUGGGCAUAGUCUGGGGUGAUAGUGGUAGAUUUGCUCUUGUUCCUAGUGUAAUCCUUGAAAUUAGUGGUGAAACUGGCUGUGGAUGGCUCUUGCUUCGGAAGGCCUGGAAGUGUGAAUUAUGUACAUGAGAACUCCAGGCAUGACAUUCUUCGGGUGGGAACUGUUGUCGCAAGCUCUCUCUUGCCAGCUUCUCUGUACCAAAGUUCUUUUGGAAACUUUGAGCCUCUCUGACCUUUUGACCCUUAUGUGCAUGUGGGAGUCCUGGUCUGUGAUCCCCUGACUUGAUUCAGGGGGCCCCUUAGCUCCAUCUGUGUUCCCUGGAGUCAGCACUGUGCCACUCCCCACCCCCCCGCCCCGCCCCGCCCAAUUCUUUUCUGUCAUGGGCAGAACUGCAGAAGCUGCAUCCUUGGGGAGCUCAGAACCUCUCCAAGGCGCUGAGUGGAGGUGCCACCUGUAUCUUUUGUUUCCGAUUCUGGAGACCCUUUUGUCCCUUCCUUUUUGGGCCUGAUCCCAUUGUCCUUCACAGAAGUGAGACACCUCAGCUCUUCACCGUGUUGCCAGAGAAGAGAACAGCUACUGUUGGAGGAGCCAUGAUGGGAUCAACCCACAUUUAUGACAUGUCUACGGUUAUGAGCCGGAAGGGCCCGGCGCCUGAGCUGCAAGGUGUGGAAGUGGCGCUGGCGCCUGAAGAGUUGGAGCUGGAUCCUAUGGCCAUGACCCAGAAGUAUGAGGAGCAUGUGCGGGAGCAGCAGGCUCAAGUAGAGAAGGAGGACUUCAGCGACAUGGUGGCUGAGCAUGCUGCCAAACAGAAGGUAGGCGCUUCCAGGGGUGCUGGGCUGGGUGAGAGCCAGGGACCCUGGCCUGCCGUUUUCAGUGGCGUGGUGCCCUCUAGUGGUGAGAGUGAGGGUGGCCUCUGCUUGCUCCCUGUGCUUCCUUAGAUUUGGAAGUCUUAGAAAUCCUCCAGUGGGCUGCCCUCUUUAAGGAAGAUGAGGGGGAGGAACUCAGCCAAGUCUGAGAGGGAGCUCGAAGAGAAUCCAGAUUCAGCACCUUUCCCACAGACUUCUAUGUCUAUGUCAGGCUGCCCACCCUUGUUUUGGGGGUCUGGGGGUAGUUCAACCUGUUGUAACCUGUGUCUUUUUCUCCCUAUACAGC